AUUGAGCGCUGGCGGAAUGCUUUACACAUGCAAGUCGAACGGCAGCACGGACUUCGGUCUGGUGGCGAGUGGCGAACGGGUGAGUAAUGUAUCGGAACGUGCCCAGUCGUGGGGGAUAACGUAGUGAAAAUUACGCUAAUACCGCAUACGAUCUAUGGAUGAAAGCGGGGGAUCGCAAGACCUCGCGCGAUUGGAGCGGCCGAUAUCAGAUUAGGUAGUUGGUGGGGUAAAGGCUCACCAAGCCAACGAUCUGUAGCUGGUCUGAGAGGACGACCAGCCACACUGGAACUGAGACACGGUCCAGACUCCUACGGGAGUCAGCAGUGGGGAAUUUUGGACAAUGGGCGAAAGCCUGAUCCAGCCAUUCCGCGUGCAGGAUGAAGGCCCUCGGGUUGUAAACUGCUUUUGUACAGAACGAAAAGGUUUCUACUAAUACUAGGAGCUCAUGACGGUACUGUAAGAAUAAGCACCGGCUAACUACGUGCCAGCCGCCGCCGUAA
rnacentral:rRNA from 1 species